UUAAGUUCAGCGGGUAUCCCUACCUGAUCCGAGGUCAACUUCCAGGAGGAGAGUUGUUUUACGGCGUGACCGCCUCCGCGUUUCCGGUGCGAGGUUCUCUGGGAGCUACUGCGCAGGGGAGGCCGCGGCGGGGUCGCCAAUGCAUUUCGGGGGCGGCUCGCGGCCCCCAACACCGAGACGGGCUCGAGGGUUGAAAUGAC
rnacentral:misc_RNA from 1 species